rnacentral:rRNA from 1 species
CAGUCGCCGCGGGAAUACGUAGGUGGCAAGCGUUGUCCGGAAUUAUUGGGCGUAAAGGGCUCGCAGGCGGUUUCUUAAGUCUGAUGUGAAAGCCCCCGGCUCAACCGGGGAGGGUCAUUGGAAACUGGGAAACUUGAGCGCAGAAGAGGAGAGUGGAAUUCCACGUGUAGCGGUGGAAUGCGUAGAGAUGUGGAGGAACACCAGUGGCGAAGGCGACUCUCUGGUCUGUAACUGACGCAGAGGAGCGAAAGCGUGGGGAGCGAACAGGAUUAGAUACCCGCGUAGUCCCUGUCUCUUAUAC